GAUUAACGCUGGCGGCGUGCAUAACACAUGCAAGUCGAACGAUGAAACUUAACUGAUUUCUUCGGAAUGAUUUUAAGUGGAUUAGUGGCGGACGGGUGAGUAACGCGUGAGUAACCUGCCUUGGAGAAGGGGAUAGCCUUUGGAAACGAAGAAUAAUACCCUAUGAUAUGAUAAUAUCUCAUGAUAUUAUCAUCAAAGAUUUAUCGCUCUAAGAUGGACUUGCGUCUGAUUAGUUAGUUGGUGAGGUAACAGCUCACCAAGGCAGCGAUCAGUAGCCGGCUUGAGAGAGUGUACGGCCACAUUGGGACUGAGACACGGCCCAGACUCCUACGGGAGGCAGCAGUGGGGAAUUUUGCACACUGGGGGAAACCCUGAUGCAGCGACGCCGCGUGAUUUAGAAGGCCUUCGGGUUGUAAAAAUCUUUUGUAUGGGAAGAAAAUGACAGUACCAUACGAAUAAGGACCGGCUAAUUACGUG
rnacentral:rRNA from 1 species